CACCCUUUAAAGAAAGCGUAAUAGCUCACUAGUCGAGUCGGCCUGCGCGGAAGAUGUAACGGGGCUCAAACUGGUUACCGAAGCUGCGGCUGUGCACGCAAGUGCACGGGGUAGGGGAGCGUUCUGUAAGCCUGCGAAGGUGUGUCGAGAGGCAUGCUGGAGGUAUCAGAAGUGCGAAUGCUGACAUGAGUAACGACAAUGGGGGUGAAAAACCCCCACGCCGGAAGACCAAGGGUUCCUGCGCAACGCUAAUCGGCGCAGGGUGAGUCGGCCCCUAAGGCGAGACCGAAAGGUGUAGUCGAUGGGAAACGGAUUAAUAUUUCCGUACCUUGGAUAGCUGCGAUGGAGAGACGGAGAAGGCUAGGUGAGCCGGGCGACGGUUGUCCCGGUUUAAGCAUGUAGGCAGUGGGAUUAGGCAAAUCCGGUCCCACAAUGCCGAGACGCGACGACGACUGCCCUUUUAGGGCGGGAAGUCAUUGAUGCCCUGCUUCCAGGAAAAUCUUCUAAGCUUCAGGCUAUUCGAGACCGUACCCCAAACCGACACAGGUGGUCAGGUAGAGAAUACCAAGGCGCUUGAGAGAACUCGGGUAAAGGAACUAGGCAAAAUGGUGCCGUAACUUCGGGAGAAGGCACGCCGGUGGUAUGUGACGCCCUUCGCGGGUUGAGCAGAAGCCGGUCGAAGAUACCAGGCCCCUGCGACUGUUUAUUAAAAACACAGCACUGUGCAAACACGAAAGUGGACGUAUACGGUGUGACGCCUGCCCGGUGCCGGAAGGUUAAUUGAUGGGGUUAGCGCUUGCGCGAAGCUCUUGAUCGAAGCCCCGGUAAACGGCGGCCGUAACUAUAACGGUCCUAAGGUAGCGAAAUUCCUUGUCGGGUAAGUUCCGACCUGCACGAAUGGCGUAACGAUGGCGGCACUGUCUCCACCCGAGACUCAGUGAAAUUGAAAUUGCGGUUAAGAUGCCGUAUACCCGCGGCUAGACGGAAAGACCCCGUGAACCUUUACUAUAGCUUGGCACUGAACUUUGAAUCUAUCUGUGCAGGAUAGGUGGGAGGCUUUGAAGCGUGGACGCUAGUCUGCGUGGAGCCACCCUUGAAAUACCACCCUGGUAUAUUUGAGGUUCUAACUCAGGUCCGUUAUCCGGAUCGAGGACAGUGUCUGGUGGGUAGUUUGACUGGGGCGGUCUCCUCCCAAAGAGUAACGGAGGAGCACGAAGGUUGGCUAAGUACGGUCGGACAUCGUGCGGUUAGUGCAAUGGCAUAAGCCAGCUUAACUGCGAGACAGACACGUCGAGCAGGUACGAAAGUAGGUCAUAGUGAUCCGGUGGUUCUGUAUGGAAGGGCCAUCGCUCAACGGAUAAAAGGUACU
rnacentral:rRNA from 1 species